ACAUGCCUACAACAUAACGUUAAUGCAUCGGAUCCCAUUAGAACUUCGUAGUUAACUGCACUCAGGUUAGAGUAGUAUUGGGAUGGGUGACCGCCCGAGAAGUCCUAGUGUUUUCAUUGC
rnacentral:rRNA from 1 species